GCUGUGAUGGCCAAGGGGUGAAGGUGUUGGACUUGAAAUCCAAUAGAGUUUCCCUGUGCAGGUUCGAAUCCUGCUCACAGAG
rfam:Nestor notabilis contig57985, whole genome shotgun sequence.